rnacentral:rRNA from 1 species
UUCCAGACUCCUACGGGAGGCAGCAGUGGGGGAUAUUGCACAAUGGGGGGAACCCUGAUGCAGCGACGCCGCGUGGGUGAAGGAGUAUUUCGGUAUGUAAAGCCCUAUCGGCAGGGAAGAAGCAAGACGGUACCUGACUAAGAAGCCCCGGCUAACUACGUGCCAGCAGCCGCGGGAAUACGUAGGGGGCAAGCGUUAUCCGGAUUUACUGGGUGUAAAGGGGGCGCAGACGGCGAUGCAAGCCAGGAGUGAAAGCCCGGGGCCCAACCCCGGGACUGCUCUUGGAACUGCGUGGCUAGAGUGCAGGAGGGGCAGGCGGAAUUCCUGGUGUAGCGGUGAAAUGCGUAGAUAUCAGGAGGAACACCGGUGGCGAAGGCGGCCUGCUGGACUGCAACUGACGUUGAGGCCCGAAAGCGUGGGAAGCAAACAGGAUUAGAUACCCCCGUACC